rnacentral:lncRNA from 1 species
CUCCAGCCUCGUCCUGGCCGGCCCCUCCUCCCUGGCUCCUCCCUGUUGAAAGACGCUCCUAUAAGGGCCAGGCGGAGCCCCGAGCUGUGGCUGAGCCCAGAGGUCAGCACGGUGCAGCUACCCAAGACCAUGCGGCCGCAACACAGGUUCCUCUCGCUCACGGCGACCGCGCUCCUGCUCCUGGCCAUCGUGGUGGCAGAUGAGCCUGCGACCUCCCCCCAUCCCGUGGCCCCGUCAGGCAGCCAGGCGCCAGAGACCCUGGCAAGUGCCGCUGAGCCCCUCAUCUCCGGCAGAUCGGAGGCUUCGGGAGAAAGUGACACCUCAACUCCUGCGGAUCAGGUGACCACAGAGGUCACGCACGUGAGCUUUGCGGGGGCAGAUCGCUCCCACACGGACGACGGGAACGGAGAUCUCCUGCUGAACAGUGAUGGCUCUGGCCCCGGUGCCUUCAGCUUUGACCUGCUGCCUGGGGACACACCGAGCGGUCCUGCCGUGGACACGUCUGCUCACUCCCACGAGUCCCAAGAAAGUAAGUUGUGCCAGGGCUGGACUCGCCCUUCCCGCUCCCUACCAGUGCCGAGCCGCUGCCUUGAACCGGGUGGGGAGCCGCAGCAGGGUCCCCGGCUGUAG